AUACGGAGGGUGCAAGCGUUAUUCGGAAUCACUGGGCGUAAAGGACGCGUAGGCGGGUUGGCAAGUCAGAUGUGAAAUCCUACAGCUUAACUGUAGAACUGCAUUUGAAACUGCUAACCUAGAGUAUGGGAGGGGGAGAUGGAAUUAGUGGUGUAGGGGUAAAAUCCGUAGAUACCACUAGGAAUACCGAAAGCGAAGGCGAUCUCCUGGAACAUAACUGACGCUAAGGCGUGAAAGCGUGGGGAGCAAACAGGAUUAGAAACCCUAGUAGUCC
rnacentral:rRNA from 1 species